rnacentral:rRNA from 1 species
UGCGGUAUCCUGACCGUGCWAAGGUAGCGUGAUAAGUUGCCCUUUAAUUGGGGGCUUGUAUGAACGGAUCUACGAAAAUUUCGCUGUCUCUCUUAUAGAUAUAGAAAUUAAUACAUAAGUGAAAAAUCUUAUAUUUAUUUAUAGGACAAAAAGACCCCAUAGAGCUCUGUUUAUAAUAUAUACUUUAUGAUAAUAAUAUUUAUAUUUCCAUUUAUAAAGUUAAAAUAAAAUUAACUGGGGCGGUUGAAGAAAAAUAAAUCUUCUUUUUUAUUUAAGGUACUAACUUACCACACCUAAUUGAGCCAAAAUAAUUUCAUAAAUUUUGAUAAAAGGAAUAGCUACCUUGGGGAUAACAGAUUCAUCCUUCUUAAGAGUUCACAUUGACAGAAGGGUUUGAUACCUCGAUGUUGGCUUAGGGUAUCCUAAAGGUUUGCAGAAGCCUUUAAGGGUAGGUUUGUUCAACCUUUAAAACCCCUACAUGAUCUGAGUUCAAACCGGAGA